rnacentral:lncRNA from 1 species
GCUGCCAGCUAGGCUGCAGAAAGCAGGAUUCCUGAGGCGGUGAGGAGAAGGGGCAUCUGUAUUUAGAUCUUCAGGGGGAGGGUGGAAAAGGAGCACAGGAAGAAGAUACAGAGAGGGGCAGGGACUAGUCCUGAGGGGCGACAGCAUAUGCUUGGGGUCCUCAAUACCAGCACUUGUGGCAUUGAUAAAAACAACUGAACUUUCCCCAUCACAGUGUUGGCCCAUCUUAGUUUUGGGAAUUAGAACAGAUAAGGGAAGAGUCUAUCUUGGGUGUCAAAGCUGGUGCUAUGUAACCUUGCUGGUUCCUGAUGAACUUCUCAGGCCCAGGGGGAGAAGAAUGCAGCUCGCUGUGCCGUGAUUCCAUCUGCCUUUCCAUCUACCUGCUUCAUCCUCUGUCCUCUGCUUGUGGCUUCCAUGUUCUCUUUGGCUUCUGUGGGUAGCCAGCCAGUGCAAGCCUCCAGCAGGAGCAGAGAGAGACCGGAAGGAAAGAAGCUAGGGAUUUCCUCUCUGCCUUGUGCCCUCUUCUCUCUUUCCAAUUAUACUGUGUGGUGUGUGUGUGUGUGUGUGUGACAGAGGGGACGCUGGUUAGAGACUAUACUCAGCACCCGGCAUACAGUGAGCAACAUCUCCUACUUCCUUCACCAUUUUUGAGACAAUGUCUUUACACAGUGCAGGCUGGACUUAGAAUCGCCAUCCUCUUGCUUCUGCCUCCUGAGAGCUGGGAUGGCAGGUUUGUGUCUGGCUGGAUC